rnacentral:rRNA from 1 species
UGGGGAAUAUUGCACAAUGGUGGAAACCCUGAUGCAGCGACGCCGCGUGAAGGAAGAAGUAUCUCGGUAUGUAAACUUCUAUCAGCAGGGAAGAUAGUGACGGUACCUGACUAAGAAGCCCCGGCUAACUACGUGCC